UACGGAAGGGGCUAGCGUUGUUCGGAAUCACUGGCGUAAAGCGCGCGUAGGCGGCUUGGCAAGUGAGGCGUGAAAGUCCUGGGCUCAACCCGGGGACGGCGCUUCAGACUGCUGGGCUUGAGUCCGGAAGAGGGUGGUGGAAUUCCGAGUGUAGAGGUGAAAUUCGUAGAUAUUCGGAGGAACACCGGCGGCGAAGGCGGCCACCUGGUCCGGAACUGACGCUCAAGUGCGAA
rnacentral:rRNA from 1 species